UACAGAGGUCUCAAGCGUUGUUCGGAUUCAUUGGGCGUAAAGGGUGCGUAGGCGGCGCGGUAAGUCGGGUGUGAAAUCUCGGAGCUUAACUCCGAAACUGCAUUCGAUACUGCCGUGCUUGAGGACUGGAGAGGAGACUGGAAUUUACGGUGUAGCGGUGAAAUGUGUAGAUAUCGUAAGGAAGACCAGUGGCGAAGGCGGGUCUCUGGACAGUUCCUGACGCUGAGGCACGAAGGCCAGGGGAGCAAACCGG
rnacentral:rRNA from 1 species